rnacentral:lncRNA from 1 species
AAAUGUUUUCAGCCAAAGUGUUAGUCAAUGAAGAACAAGCUCAAAGACAGUAUCCCGAUCAGUAGAAUCUCCCAAGAACAGAUUUUGCACAGCACAUCCUGAGUAUUGAGUGGGAAAGAGUUAUAAAUUUAUAAUCAACCUUGAUGGGCAGAAUUAACACAAAAAGAUGAAACAUUUAUUAUUAGCUAACAUCUCUGAAAUGUUAUUGCUGAACCAAACUCUCUACCUGUUUAUCAGGGAUGUGAGAAAUCCUCGGCUAAUCCUGCCCUAUCUCCUGUCGACACCUUUUCCCAGCAAGAGACUUUCAUUAUUAGCCAAGGAACAAGUAAUAAACUUUAUAAUUCAGAGAUAUAUGACACACACGAAAUGAAAGCUGUCAAGAGAGGAGAGUCUCAAGGGAAAGAAAGCUUAGACGAAGAUCUUGACAUUCA